rnacentral:SRP_RNA from 1 species
GCCGGGCGUGGUGGCUCAUGCCUGUAAUCCCAGCACUUUGGGAGGCCGAGGCAGGUGGAUCACUUGAGGUCAGGAGUUUGAGACCAGCCUGGCCAACAUGGUGAAACCCUGUCUCUA